rnacentral:sRNA from 1 species
CCAGAACCAGCCUGCCGGGUCGGAACGC